rnacentral:rRNA from 1 species
CCUACGGGAGGCAGCAGUGGGGAAUAUUGGACAAUGGGCGAAAGCCUGAUCCAGCCAUGCCGCGUGUGUGAAGAAGGCCUUCGGGUUGUAAAGCACUUUCAGUGGGGAAGAAAGCCUUGGGGCUAAUACCCUCGAGGAAGGACAUCACCCACAGAAGAAGCACCGGCUAACUCCGUGCCAGCAGCCGCGGUAAUACGGAGGGGUGCGAGCGUUAAUCGGAAUUACUGGGCGUAAAGCGCGCGUAGGCGGUCUGAUAAGCCGGUUGUGAAAGCCCCGGGCUCAACCUGGGAACGGCAUCCGGAACUGUCAGGCUAGAGUGCAGGAGAGGAAGGUAGAAUUCCCGGUGUAGCGGUGAAAUGCGUAGAGAUCGGGAGGAAUACCAGUGGCGAAGGCGGCCUUCUGGACUGACACUGACGCUGAGGUGCGAAAGCGUGGGUAGCAAACAGGAUUAGAUACCCCUGUAGUC